rnacentral:rRNA from 1 species
UUUAAAGAGAGUUUGAUCCUGGCUCAGGACGAACGCUGGCGGCGUGCCUAAUACAUGCAAGUCGAACGAACGGAGGAAGAGCUUGCUCUUCCAAUGUUAGUGGCGGACGGGUGAGUAACACGUGGGCAACCUGCCUGUAAGUUGGGGAUAACUCCGGGAAACCGGGGCUAAUACC